UUUGGUCCUUAGUGAAGCUGCAGCUGCUUCCACAUGGGUGCUGUGGUCACAAAGAAGCCCAGAGUGACAGUUUUCCUUGAUGGUCACUGUUCUUUUUGCUGUAACUGAUAUGCAGCAUUUUAGGGAAACACAGUU
ensembl:snoRNA